AUGUAGGGUAAUUUGUCCUUAAAUAGGGAUAAGUUACCAAAAAAAAAAAAUGAAUCCUAGUUUUCCUUCAAGUCAAGUGUCUUGU
rnacentral:pre_miRNA from 1 species